rnacentral:rRNA from 1 species
GAUGAACGCUGGCGGCGUGCCUAAUACAUGCAAGUCGAGCGAACGGACGAGAAGCUUGCUUUUCUGAUGUUAGCGGCGGACGGGUGAGUAACACGUGGAUAACCUACCUAUAAGACUGGGAUAACUUCGGGAAACCGGAGCUAAUACCGGAUAAUAUUUUGAACCGCAUGGUUCAAAAGUGAAAGACGGUCUUGCUGUCACUUAUAGAUGGAUCCGCGCUGCAUUAGCUAGUUGGUAAGGUAACGGCUUACCAAGGCAACGAUGCAUAGCCGACCUGAGAGGGUGAUCGGCCACACUGGAACUGAGACACGGUCCAGACUCCUACGGGAGGCAGCAGUAGGGAUUCUUCCGCAAUGGGCGAAAGCCUGACGGAGCAACGCCGCGUGAGUGAUGAGGGUCUUCGGAUCGUAAAACUCUGUUAUUAGGGAAGAACAUAUGUGUAAGUAACUGUGCACAUCUUGACGGUACCUAAUCAGAAAGCCACGGCUAACUACGUG